rnacentral:rRNA from 1 species
AGGACGAACGCUGGCGGCGUGCUUAACACAUGCAAGUCGAGCGGUAAGGCCUUUCGGGGUACACGAGCGGCGAACGGGUGAGUAACACGUGGGUGAUCUGCCCUGCACUUCGGGAUAAGCCUGGGAAACUGGGUCUAAUACCGGAUAUGACCUCCUAUCGCAUGGUGGGUGGUGGAAAGAUUUAUCGGUGCAGGAUGGGCCCGCGGCCUAUCAGCUUGUUGGUGGGGUAAUGGCCUACCAAGGCGACGACGGGUAGCCGACCUGAGAGGGUGACCGGCCACACUGGGACUGAGACACGGCCCAGACUCCUACGGGAGGCAGCAGUGGGGAAUAUUGCACAAUGGGCGAAAGCCUGAUGCAGCGACGCCGCGUGAGGAUGACGGCCUUCGGUUGUAAACCUCUUUCAGCAGGACGAAGCGCAAGUGACGGUACCUGCAGAAGAAGCACCGGCUAACUACGUGCCAGCAGCCGC